GACGAACGCUGGCGGCGUGCUUAACACAUGCAAGUCGAACGGAAAGGCCCUGCUUUUGUGGGGUGCUCGAGUGGCGAACGGGUGAGUAACACGUGAGUAACCUGCCCUUGACUUUGGGAUAACUUCAGGAAACUGGGGCUAAUACCGGAUAGGAGCUCCUGCUGCAUGGUGGGGGUUGGAAAGUUUCGGCGGUUGGGGAUGGACUCGCGGCUUAUCAGCUUGUUGGUGGGGUAGUGGCUUACCAAGGCUUUGACGGGUAGCCGGCCUGAGAGGGUGACCGGCCACAUUGGGACUGAGAUACGGCCCAGACUCCUACGGGAGGCAGCAGUGGGGAAUAUUACACAAUGGGCGGAAGCCUAAUGCAGCAACGCCGCGUGCGGGAUGACGGCCUUCGGGUUGUAAACCGCUUUCGCCUGUGACGAAGCGUGAGUGACGGUAAUGGGUAAAGAAGCACCGGCUAACUACGUG
rnacentral:rRNA from 1 species